rnacentral:rRNA from 1 species
ACACGAGUGGCGAACGGGUGAGUAACACGUGGGUGAUCUGCCCUGCACUUCGGGAUAAGCCCGGGAAACUGGGUCUAAUACCGGAUAGUACUGCGCGGUGCAUGCCGUGUGGUGGAAAGAUUUAUCGGUGCAGGAUGGGCCCGCGGCCUAUCAGCUUGUUGGUGGGGUAAUGGCCUACCAAGGCGACGACGGGUAGCCGGCCUGAGAGGGCGACCGGCCACACUGGGACUGAGACACGGCCCAGACUCCUACGGGAGGCAGCAGUGGGGAAUAUUGCACAAUGGGCGCA